ensembl:lncRNA
GGGCGACUCGAACCUGAGUCUACAGGGCGUCAACUAACCGUUAACCAUCAGCCCUGACCGCUGCACCACCAAGACGCUUACCAGAAUAUGUUUGGAGGUCAUACUUGACUUUACCAUUCACAUGAUAGAGAUAUAAGAUGUCUCCAUUAAUGUACCUCUUCAACCCCGGAACCUGAACCAUAGUGUCUGAAUGCUCAACAUUCUUAUUAGCCGUGCGUGCAUGCGGGGACUCAAACCUGAGUCUAUAGAGCGUUAACCGACAGCCCUGACCGCUGCACCACCAAGUCACUUACCAGAUCAUUUUUGGAGGUUAUACUUGACUUUACCAUUCACAUAAUUGAGAAAUAAGAUGCAACCAUUAACGUACCUCUGGUGGCCGUGCAGCGGGGACUCGAACCUUAGUCUACAGAGCGUUAACCAACAGCCCUGACCGCUGCACCACCCAGACACUUACCAGAUCAUUUUUGGAGGUUAUACUUGACUUUACCAUUGUGAAAGUCAAGUAUAACCACAGCCUUACCACCAUACCACCAAGACCCUACCCAUUCCACUUUGUUUCUUCCGGUGAAUACAAUAUGGGAUAAAUAAAAGAAAGCAAUUAUCAUACAAUCAUGCAAACUCAAAUAGACCCCCCCCCUGAUUCUCAAUUCAUACCGUUCUUCAGGGGAUUGAGUCAGCACACACAAGCAGACAGGCGGUUCCGCCUGUUGUGACUGCUGGAUGUGGAAGCGGUGGUUGUUGUUCACCUAGAGGGGGUGGUGGAGACCAGUGUUGCCAGAUUGGGCAACACUAUUUCCCCACCAUUUCGUCACACAGUAGAAUCCACGCCAGGCUGGUUCUCGGUGCUUCGAACCCCGGUCUCGAGCGCUGCCAUCCAACAGCACUCGCCGCUGCACCGUCGAGACACUACCAAGUGGCCAGCGGUUAUAGUUGACUUAAAACUCACAUGACAUUGUUCGGCUUCUAACUCUACGUCAAGCUCCAGUGAAGACCUAUCGUGACAGGACUCCAGGGGUCGCUAUAAACAGCUCUAUCAGCUGCACCCUUGUGACGUCAUGAUUUGAC